CCUCCCCCUAGAGAGGCAUUGCAGGUGUGGCUGCUCUGUCACAUUUGUGUCAGAUGGAAGAGAGGAGAGAGGCUGUGUCUACACUCGGUGUUCUGACCUAUAAACAUCUGAAUGAUCAUUAGCCUCACACU